rnacentral:lncRNA from 1 species
GUCUCUGUCUGUAAAAGAUAGAUAGGUAUGUUGUAACAACUUACUGAAUUCCACACAACAAAAUACUCCACUAAUAAAAAGGUGACAAGACAAGGACAAGAAAAACAGUAGAUACAGUGAAUCACACUUCAGCAUUACGCUACGCACUUACGCAGCCGAUGAAAUGCUGCACAGCAAUCUGCAAGCAAGAAACACCACACAUCUAUUACCUUGGCCCACAAGAAGGAAAUGUUUGCACCUACUGCUGCUUCCUUCCUAGUACAUGAGGUGCCCAUCCGGCCAUCCCAAUCCUCGCUCACUGACCCGUGAUGCCCCCACCGGGAAAUGAUGCGAUAAGAAAAGCUUGCUAUGAUGGUGCCAUGGGUCUUUUACUAUGUGAACCGGCAAUUGAAAGCGGGGGCUGA